CUCGCCAGUGGGCGUGGCAGUCGCUGGGCGGCUGCGAAGGCUGCGGAGGCCGAGGACAUAAAACUGAAGUCGGACCCAGAAAGUGGAGGCCAGCUGUAAGGAAGUCAGUCGGUCGGCUGGCAAAUGCGAAUGCAAAUGCAAAUGCAAUUGUAAAUCUGGAAAAGCCACAAGGAGCUGCUGGACGUGGAGAUGCUGAUGCAGAUGCAGACCUGCCGACUUGGCCAAAAGUGCAUUUCACGCUGGCUAAUGAAACAAAUUAUAAGUGGCCACUGUCGUCGGACUUUUGCGGAAAACAAACCGAACAACCGAAACCAUAUUUACGCACUUAUAUUUGGCUACUUCGAUUUUUGCACAACUUUCACUUUUCUGCCCCACUGUGCCGCUGCAGUUCGUCAAUUCGCCAUUCACACACGAUUUAGCGUAGUCGCCCCGGGGUUUAAGAGGUCGGCGACGAGGGACAUGGCUCGGUAUUGGUAUCUCGGAAGCGGGGGACACUCAUGUGAUGAAUUUGCCGCCAAGGCGCCGCCGCCACUGACGCUUGGGUGGUCAAAAUGGGGCUGGGCGCAACUCCUGCGGCUUAAAUGCUUGCCCCAAACAGUACGUUUCGUUUUUGUAUCCAUUUGGUAACCAUUCGAUUCCACGGUCGCGACUGGCGAACGACUAAAUUAUUCAUUGCAGGAUUUAUGCCGCCGCCGGCCUGCAAUCACUUUCGCUCAUGCUCAAGCUCAAGACUCAAGACCGCCCCAAAAAAUCAUGAGCUGCUAGCCAGUCAACUGGCCAAAAUUGUUGGCCCUCCAGUUGUUUGUUUUGAGCCGCAGAGCAGAGCUCGGGCAAACAUUUGCCACAAUUAAUGCACAUGACGCCGCUUAAACUUUGGCUUGACAAAUGGAGUCAGUCGCCUAACCCCCAGGAAUUUGGGUCCACUCUAAAAGCCGGGCU